CUGGAACCUUGCUGAGAGGCGAGGGUGCCUUCGGGAGCCAGAACACAGGUGCUGCAUGGCUGUCGUCAGCUCGUGUCGUGAGAUGUUGGGUUAAGUCCCGCAACGAGCGCAACCCUUGUCAUUAGUUGCCAUCAUUUAGUUGGGCACUCUAAUGAGACUGCCGGUGACAAACCGGAGGAAGGUGGGGAUGACGUCAAGUCCUCAUGGCCCUUAUGGGUAGGGCUUCACACGUCAUACAAUGGUCGGUACAGAGGGUUGCCAAGCCGCGAGGUGGAGCCAAUCCCUUAAAGCCGAUCGUAGUCCGGAUCGUAGUCUGCAACUCGACUACGUGAAGUCGGAAUCGCUAGUAAUCGCAGAUCAGCACGCCGCGGUGAAUACGUUCCCGGGCCUU
rnacentral:rRNA from 1 species